rnacentral:rRNA from 1 species
GAUGAACGCUGGCGGCGUGCCUAAUACAUGCAAGUCGAACGCACUGAGAGAAGUGCCUGCACUUUUCAAUUUGAGUGGCGAACGGGUGAGUAACACGUGGGCAACCUACCUGAUAGCGGGGGAUAACGAGUGGACACAUUCGCUAAUACCGCAUAACAAUAGAGAAGGCAUCGUCUUUAUAUAAAAGGCGCUUUCAAGUGUCACUAUCAGAUGGGCCCGCGGUGCAGUAGUUAGUUGGUGGGGUGAAGGCCUACCAAGACGAUGAUGCAUAGCCGAGUUGAGCGACUGAUCGGCCACAUUGGGACUGAGACACGGCCCAAACUCAUACGGGAGGCUACAGUAGGGAAUCUUCCACAAUGGACGAAAGUCUGAUGGAGCAACGCCGCGUGUGUGAUGAAGGCUUUCGGGUCGUAAAGCACUGUUGUAUGGGAAGAAAUGCUAGGCUAGGAAAUGAGCUUAGUUUGACGGUACCAUACCAGAAAGGGACGGCUAAAUACGUGCCAGCCGCCGCGGUAA